AAAAACAAAAAAAGAAAAUGUGACUCUACACUUGGUAAGGUGUAAAGAGAAGCUCAGCAUCAAAAUAAAGAAGUUAUCUUUCCCAAUGAAAGGUAUUGUAAGCAAAGUCCUUUUGCCAUAUCUUUAUAAACCCCUACUAAACUAGCUACAAAAAUCAGAACAAAACAACUUUAUAAGUGCAUGGUGGUUGAACUUUCCAUAGUGUCCUACAUGCAUUGCAUGAGGAUGAGUAAUUUUAAUAUCAUGUAAUAAAUCAAUGUAGCGACACAAGGAAUGGAUUGAAGGGCAUGAGGUAAUCAUUGAGUGCACAAAGGCCUAGUGGCAAUGAAAUGUAAGAGAGAACAUAGUAAAACCAUUUUAGGACUUCCCCUAACAAUUUUAGUUUUUUUUAUUAAGUGGUUCAUUCACAUAAAAAAUAAGGAUGUGGGAGUUUGGUGGUGUUGAAUAUGUGAGCAGGGGGGAAAUGGUAAAUGAGAAUAAAGGACUUCUACAAUUGAUAUCAAUUGUUAUUUUCAUAUUAUUGUUCAAGUUUCCUAAUAGAUUAUCAUGAGAAUUUUAUCAUUACCUAUUUGAAGGAGAUAUUAAGAUAUUAUUUAUAUUAUUUGAAUUCCAUUUAGAAGGUUUCCCUAUGGUUUAGUCCAUUCUUGUUAGGUUACGGUUUAUUUCAUUAGCUUUGCAGCAUAUAUAAAGCACCUUAGUUAUUUACAUCCAAAAGGAGGUUAUUAGUAUUGAUUAAUUAAAAUAAAUUGAGCCUUCAUAGCUUGGUUUUGUAAGUUCAUUGUAUUUAUUUCAUUCUUCACUUGGUUCUACUCCAAGGGUCUACAUCAAGGAGUUGCUAGUAUGAAGAAGAAGAAAGCAUAUGGAAAUGCAAGAAGUUGAAUAUGAAACAAUGUUGAAACAAAGAUGAUUGUAGGUUACAAGACUCCAAAACAGCAUGCCAAAGUUUGGUGAUAGAUGGGAAGCAACCUAAAAAACUUUUCAACAAAUUUUAUUCAUGAUGUGUCGUAUGAAUGCCAUGUAGUAGAAUUGCUCAUGUGGAAUAGGAAACGGGGAAAUGAACAAGUUUAACUCAUCAUGUCCAAGGAUUUAUACUCUGUUUGGAAAUUUUCAAAGGGAUUGAUUGAGUGGAAUAAAAUUAAAGUCCUAACGACAAAAGAAGCAAAGUUGAUGUCUUUUUGUAGACAAAGGUAUUUCUAAAAAAUUGUCUGAAUCUAGGCUUUAUUUUCUGUUUAGUAUUUUAUUUUAUAACUCUUAAGUUAUUAGGUUUUCAUAUUCUAAAUGGUACGAGUUAGAAGAAAGUUAAAGACUCUAAGCACAUAUUGGAUUUGAACUAAAACUCUCUAAAUAAGCAUAUAGUCUUUCAAUAUUUUCAUCGCAGUUUAUGAACAAAAUUCUACCAAUUUGCUUUUGAUUGAUUGACUCAAUCUCCCAUAGGUGUGACUACUAAAAAACGUAGGUGUGAAGCUUAUGUUUUAUAUCCUCUAGGUGUGACUCCUAGAAACCCAAUUAGUGUGGCUCUUAUAGUUUCUACAAUUUUCAACAAUUCAAAUCCUAUAUUCAAACCUCUAUUGAAUUCCCAAACAUCCACACAUUCAAGCCCCAUCAAUUCUACACUUAAUAGCACUGACCAUCUAAAGAUCAACUCAAACCCUAAAAUUACUAUUCACACCACUAUUUAUAGCCUUAACAACCUCUGAAAGUCAGAUCUAGAACAAUCUCCAAAGUUGAUGUAGAACAAUUAUUUCUAGAGUUUACGGACCAAAUUGACAAGGUUAAACCUGAAAAGAAGUCUGUAAAAACCCUGGAAGCAUCUCAUAUGAAGCCCAAAGUUAUAGUUUUCCUAUUUGAACUAUAUUCCUAGUUAAUUUUGAAUUUUAAUUAUUUGUUUCUUUUUUAUCUUAGUUCUUUUAAUUUAGUUAGUAUUUUACUAUUUAGAAAUUCUAAUGCUAAAUGGGUUCUAUUAAUUAGGUAAAUUUUAAUUAGAAAUAGUUAUCUAUAAUGGAA